rnacentral:rRNA from 1 species
UUACCACCACCGGCAACCAGAGUCCCGCGGAAACGUCGCUCGCGGCGCGCGGCCCCGGGGAUGACCCGGGGGGGCGCGUCCCGACGAGCUCCGAACAACCCUUUGGGCGCGGCGAGCGCCAAGGAAUAGAAGCGGAAAGGGCGGCCGCCUCAGCCCGGUGCGAGCGCGCCCCGUCCGGGGACGCGGCUUCGCGCCGUGGGGAUACGCCGCCCGUCUGUGAACCAUUUUAUAGACGACUCUCGGCAACGGAUAUCUCGGCUCUCGCAUCGAUGAAGAACGUAGCGAAAUGCGAUACUUGGUGUGAAUUGCAGAAUCCCGUGAACCAUCGAGUCUUUGAACGCAAGUUGCGCCUGAGGCCACUCGGCCGAGGGCACGCCUGCCUGGGCGUCACGCCACCCAUCGCCCCCCCUCGAGGCACUCCCGUGCACCGCCGGGGAGCGGAGACUGGCCGUCCGUGCCCGAGUCCUCGGCGCGCGGUCGGCAGAAAAGGAGGACACCGUGCGGCGCGACACGGCGUGUGGGGGUUGAGAGGCGAUUCGUCGCCGAUCGUACGUCGCGCCCGCAUUCCGCCGCGCGCAGUGCCACCCGUGGGACCAGACCAGCCCGCAGCCGCGGGCGCUCGGACCGCGACCCCAGGUCAGGCGUGGCCACCCGCUGAAUUUAAGCAUAUCAAUAAGCGGAGGAAAAGA